rnacentral:tRNA from 1 species
UGGCCGUCGGGGCGGACGCCCCGUUCCGGGAGGUCGUCGACCUCCUGCGGCGUUGGCGCACCGGUUCCGUCCCGGUGCUGGCCGG